GUUUCCGUAGUGUAGUGGUUAUCACGUUCGCUUUACACGCGAAAGGUCCCCGGUUCGAACCCGGGCGGAAACA
rfam:Ciona savignyi cont_36532, whole genome shotgun sequence.